AUGAACGCUAGCUACAGGCUUAACACAUGCAAGUCGAGGGGCAUCAGGAAGAAAGCUUGCUUUCUUUGCUGGCGACCGGCGCACGGGUGAGUAACACGUAUCCAACCUGCCCUUUACUCGGGGAUAGCCUUUCGAAAGAAAGAUUAAUACCCGAUGGCAUAAUGAUUCCGCAUGGUUUCAUUAUUAAAGGAUUCCGGUAAAGGAUGGGGAUGCGUUCCAUUAGGUUGUUGGUGAGGUAACGGCUCACCAAGCCUUCGAUGGAUAGGGGUUCUGAGAGGAAGGUCCCCCACAUUGGAACUGAGACACGGUCCAAACUCCUACGGGAGGCAGCAGUGAGGAAUAUUGGUCAAUGGGCGCUAGCCUGAACCAGCCAAGUAGCGUGAAGGAUGAAGGCUCUAUGGGUCGUAAACUUCUUUUAUAUAAGAAUAAAGUGCAGUAUGUAUACUGUUUUGUAUGUAUUAUAUGAAUAAGGAUCGGCUAACUCCGUGCCAGCAGCCGCGGUAAUACGGAGGAUCCGAGCGUUAUCCGGAUUUAUUGGGUUUAAAGGGAGUGUAGGUGGACUGGUAAGUCAGUUGUGAAAGUUUGCGGCUCAACCGUAAAAUUGCAGUUGAUACUGUCAGUCUUGAGUACAGUAGAGGUGGGCGGAAUUCGUGGUGUAGCGGUGAAAUGCUUAGAUAUCACGAAGAACUCCGAUUGCGAAGGCAGCUCACUGGACUGCAACUGACACUGAUGCUCGAAAGUGUGGGUAUCAAACAGGAUUAGAUACCCUGGUAGUCCACACAGUAAACGAUGAAUACUCGCUGUUUGCGAUAUACAGUAAGCGGCCAAGCGAAAGCAUUAAGUAUUCCACCUGGGGAGUACGCCGGCAACGGUGAAACUCAAAGGAAUUGACGGGGGCCCGCACAAGCGGAGGAACAUGUGGUUUAAUUCGAUGAUACGCGAGGAACCUUACCCGGGCUUAAAUUGCAGUGGAAUGAUGUGGAAACAUGUCAGUGAGCAAUCACCGCUGUGAAGGUGCUGCAUGGUUGUCGUCAGCUCGUGCCGUGAGGUGUCGGCUUAAGUGCCAUAACGAGCGCAACCCUUAUCUUUAGUUACUAACAGGUCAUGCUGAGGACUCUAGAGAGACUGCCGUCGUAAGAUGUGAGGAAGGUGGGGAUGACGUCAAAUCAGCACGGCCCUUACGUCCGGGGCUACACACGUGUUACAAUGGGGGGUACAGAAGGCAGCUAGCGGGUGACCGUAUGCUAAUCCCAAAAUCCUCUCUCAGUUCGGAUCGAAGUCUGCAACCCGACUUCGUGAAGCUGGAUUCGCUAGUAAUCGCGCAUCAGCCACGGCGCGGUGAAUACGUUCCCGGGCCUUGUACACACCGCCCGUCAAGCCAUGGGAGCCGGGGGUACCUGAAGUACGUAACCGCAAGGAUCGUCCUAGGGUAAAACUGGUGACUGGGGCU
rnacentral:rRNA from 1 species